AACGCGAAGAACCUUACCUGGGCUAGAAUGCCUCUGAUCGCCAUAGAGAUAUGGUUUCCUGGGUAAAACCAGGCAGAGUGCAAGGUGCUGCAUGGCUGUCGUCAGCUCGUGUCGUGAGAUGUUGGGUUAAGUCCCGCAACGAGCGCAACCCUUAUCAAUAGUUGCCAGCGGUUCGGCCGGGCACUCUAUUGAGACUGCCGUUGACAAAACGGAGGAAGGUGGGGAUGACGUCAAGUCCUCAUGGCCUUUAUGUCCAGGGCUACACACGUGCUACAAUGGGCGGUACAAAGGGAAGCAAUCCUGCGAGGGGGAGCCAAUCCCAAAAAGCCGUUCACAGUUCGGAUCGGAGUCUGCAACUCGACUCCGUGAAGUUGGAAUCGCUAGUAAUCCCGUAUCAGCAUGACGGGAUGAAUACGUUCCCGGGUCUUGUACACACCG
rnacentral:rRNA from 1 species